rnacentral:piRNA from 1 species
UGGGCUUUGGUGUCCUUGCCUAGACAACGG